CCCUGAGCAAGGCAGGGUUCACGAGCAGCGAACCAAAGCUCUGCUUGGAGUCGAUACCCAUAGCCCUUUCCAAGACGACCGCCAGCGACACAACCACUAAAUCCAUCACCGCGUUCUCCUCCUCAGAGUCCCUAUGGAAAUGCAUUACGGAGAGAAUAAUCCAGGGUCCUCCAGGUGGAAUAAUAUUUGAUACUCAGCCUUUGUGUUUUGUCACGGUGAUAAAUCCUCUGCUCUGCAGCGUUCACCUCCCAGCCCGCGAGAGGAUGAUAUUGGUUUAGAAAAGUCCAAAUAUAAACUCCAAUUUGAAGUUUCUUCACCCGUUUAGUUAUUUUCAGGGACGUCACAAAGAAGGCGUCAAACAACGAUGAGGAGGCGGCUUCGGGAACAAGAGGAGAGUCGUGAGCCUCACCAGGCCAACGGCAGCUCUUGGGUUACAGUUUGUAGCAUUGUCUUGCAGGCAGCCUGACAACGGGCUGUAGUUAAUACUGGUGAUCAUCCUCCCUGGUGUGAAGACAUUAGUGGAGCUGGUUCAGUCCAGUGCAGCAGCACACACGUCUCCAAACGCUGAAUCACAGGUCCCACCGAGUCUAAAACAAGACAUUUCUCGAUCUGGAAUGUGGGAGAAACUCCAUUUCAGUCGCUAAACGGUGGAUUUGUCCGUUUGUUGUGCAGUGAGUCACGUUGGAUCAAAGCGUCCGCUCCGCGUGUGACGGGUGAGGCCUGACUGCAAAGUCCUCGUCAGAGGGCCCAGUAGCCUCCUGUAGCCUGUAGCCUGUAGGGCCCUGUAGCCUGUAGGGCCUGUAGCCUGUAGCGCCCUGUAGCCUGUAGCGCCCUGUAGCCUGUAGGGCCCAGUAGCCUGUAGCCUGCGCCAUGUAGUCUGUGGCGCAUAGCCUUCUAGCCUGUAGCAGUGUAGCCUAUAUCAGUGUAGCAUGUAGCCCGUAGCCUGUAGCAUGUAGCAUCUAGCCUGUAGCAUGUAGCCUGUAGCAUGUAGCCUGGUAGCCUGUAGCCUGUAGCCACCAGUCCUACGGUCAGGCGGUGUGAUUUGUCUUCUUGUAUUUUGAUCUUGGUGAAAGCGGAGUUCUGAGGACAUGGUUCUGAUGAAGGGAUGACCCUGAGGGUGGUCUCUACCCUGGUGGGGUCCGACCCUGAGGGGGGUCCCGACCCUUGGUGGGGUCUCGACCCUGAGGGGGGUCCAAACCCGGAGCAGGGUCCCGACCCCGAACCACAGAGGUGAACCCAAGGCUUCCAGAAGAGCCAGACUCUGGGAUGUUCUCCCGGUCUUCUGUGGGGCGGAGUCUUUCCCGCUGGGAGGGACAGACGGACGGGAACGCCGUGGGGGUCCGGAACGCCGUGGGGGUCCGGCCGUCGUCUGGCCAGCGGGCCGGCCAACCACCUGACAGAGACAGAUGGGAUGCACACGACACACACACACACACACACACACACACACACACACCACACACACACACACACACCACACACACACACACACACACACACACACACACACACACACACAGAUUAAAGCUAGGGUAAGGGUUCUCGGUUCAAUUUCACCAGAGCUGCAGAAUGUCGUUAUUCCAAACUUUAGUUGUGGGUCAGGAUUAUGUGGUGGUGGGGGGACGUUUGGCUCACAGCCCAAAGGUUCUGCUCCCACUGUAGCCCUAACCCAGACCGACCUGUAGACAGCCAGACGCCCCUGACCCCCCUGAACCCUUCAGCGCUGGGUCCCAGCAGGGGGGGAGUGGAGCUUCAAACAGCUUUAAUACGUCGUCCACCUCCGGGUCGUCUCCCUACAGACGGUCUCACUCUGGGUCGUCUCACUCCGGAACCCCUGAGAGGGUUUGGCUCCUCCCCUGAGAGGUGGUUUGGAUCCUCCCCUGAGAGGGUUUGGCUCCUCCCCCUGAAGGGGUUUGGUUCCUCCCCAAGAGGGUUUGGCCCCUCCCCUGAAAGGGAUGGCUCCGCCCCUGAGAGGGUUUGUCCCCCUGAGAGGGUUUGGCCCCUCCCCCUGAGCGGGUUUGGCUCCGCCCCUGACCGCUGCCCUUC